ACGAACGCUGGCGGCGUGCUUAACACAUGCAAGUCGAACGAAGAGCGACGGAAGCUUGCUUCUAUCAAUCUUAGUGGCGAACGGGUGAGUAACGCGUAAUCAACCUGCCCUUCAGAGGGGGACAACAGUUGGAAACGACUGCUAAUACCGCAUACGAUCUAACCUCGGCAUCGAGGAUAGAUGAAAGGUGGCCUCUACAUGUAAGCUAUCACUGAAGGAGGGGAUUGCGUCUGAUUAGCUAGUUGGAGGGGUAACGGCCCACCAAGGCGAUGAUCAGUAGCCGGUCUGAGAGGAUGAACGGCCACAUUGGGACUGAGACACGGCCCAGACUCCUACGGGAGGCAGCAGUGGGGAAUCUUCCGCAAUAGACGAAAGUCUGACGGAGCAACGCCGCGUGAGUGAUGACGGCCUUCGGGUUGUAAAGCUCUGUUAAUCGGGACGAAAGGCCUUCUUGCGAAUAGUGAGAAGGAUUGACGGUACCGGAAUAGAAAGCCACGGCUAACUACGUG
rnacentral:rRNA from 1 species